CCAGCUCCAGUAGCGUAUAUUAGAGUUGUUGCAGUUAAAACGCUCGUAGUCGAGAGAUCGGCGGGACGGGAGUUCCGCCGGGGGUUACCUUGAGGAAAGAAGAGUGUUCAAAGCGGGCGAAGCAAGAAUACGGCAGCAUGGAAUAACACACGCGCGUGAGUUGGUGAGUGCGCAAGGAUGAAUAGGGACAGUUGGGGGCAGUGGGAUUCACGAGCUAGAGGUGAAAUUCGGGGAUUUCGUGAGGACCGACAGAGGCGAAGGCGUCUGCCAAGGAUGUUUUCA
rnacentral:rRNA from 1 species